rnacentral:lncRNA from 10 species
AAGCACCAAGGAUUCUCUUUUGUUGAAUUUGAGUUGGCAGAGUUUGGUCAGAUGAAGACUGGGUGGAGAAGUUUGCUGGGAAGAGGAUAAAGAGGAAGGUGGUUGAGACUUCCCAAAGCAGAAAGCCAGGAGGUAAGAAUGACAGUUCAUGCUUCCAUAGGAGAGGCUGCUGCUUUCCACAUAGGGAAUUUCUGAGGUGAGUGGUGUUGGGUGAAUUUAAAGGAGAAGUUUUGGCUUUCUUAUCUAGGUGAGAAAUAUCUUAUGUGGGCUCAGGUAUUUGUGAUUGCUGCUGAGCAAGGCGGAUAUCUGAGGUGAGAAAGGAUGGUGAGUACUCUGCAUCACCAGCAUCCGCUAUCCUCCUAGUCUUUGGCAGCAGGCUCACUGUCUUCCUGUUCUUGCCCUAAUUCCAAGGGGGCAGAAUCAUGUAGAGGUCCCUUCCCCUCAGUCAGUACACAGGCACAAGGCUCUCCCUGCCCUCUCCACUUGCUCCUGCUUCUCCAUCAGGCCAUCCUGACUGUUGCUUCCCAGGAUAAUUUAAGGGCUCCUCCUCCUCAGUCCACCCUUUGAGCAGUGAUAUUUCCCUGAAUUCCUUCCUUAGCCCUCAGCACCUCUCUCCACAUUAUCCUUAUGCCAUGUCAGCCCCUUCUAUCUCCUAAGGUUAUAACGAUCUUUCAUUGUCCGAAUGAUAUUCUGAUCUCUAUCCCUAGCCCUGACCUUUCACAUAUUUCUGUUUGGGUGUCUUAUAGGCACCAUAAAUAAAGCAUAUCCCAAAUGGGUUUCAUCACCUUUCUGGUCUUUUUUUAUGCCCAAUCUUAGUUCACUUUGCCAUCUUCAACAUAGUCACACCCAAACCAGAUUCCUUGGUGCCAGCUUAG